AAGAAAAAAAAAAGGAGAUGGUUGGCAUCUCCUUUGAUAGGGAUGGGAACAACUUUCGAGCUUUCCUGUUACACACCUCAAUAAGGCUGUCCACUUCUCUUAGGUUGGAUCUAUAACCCAAUUUUU
rfam:Medicago truncatula strain A17 chromosome 1, whole genome shotgun sequence.